rnacentral:rRNA from 1 species
CCCUUAGAUGUUCUGGGCUGCACGCGCGCUACACUGAUGCACUCAACGAGUUUUCGACCUUGCCCGAUAGGGCUGGGUAAUCUUUUUAAAAUGCAUCGUGAUGGGGAUAGAUUAUUGCAAUUAUUAAUCUUCAACGAGGAAUUCCUAGUAAGCGCGAGUCAUCAGCUCGUGCUGAUUACGUCCCUGCCCUUUGUACACACCGCCCGUCGCUCCUACCGAUUGAGUGGUCCGGUGAGGCUUUGGGAUCUGAGCGGAAAGAGCGUUUCGCUGUUUCUGCUCGGAAAACUCAGUCGAACCUUAUCAUUUAGAGGAAGGAGAAGUCGUAACA